CUGCAGCUCAAGUGGUGAUCGCUAUUAUUGGGCCUAAAACGUUCGUAGCCGGCUUGGUAAAUGCCUGGGUAAAUUGUGUAGCUUAACUAUACGAAUUCCGGGUAGACUGCCAAACUUGAGACCGGGAGAGGCUAGAGGUACUCCUGGGGUAGAGGUGAAAUUCUGUAAUCCUGGGGGGACCACCAGUGGCGAAGGCGUCUAGCUAGAACGGGUCUGACGGUGAGGGACGAAGCCCUGGGGCGCAAACCGGAUUAGAUACCCGAGUAGUCC
rnacentral:rRNA from 1 species